AGAGUUUGAUCCUGGCUCAGGAUGAACGCUGGCGGCAGGCUUAACACAUGCAAGUCGAGCGGGCGUAGCAAUACGUCAGCGGCAGACGGGUGAGUAACGCGUGGGAACGUACCUUUUGGUUCGGAACAACACAGGGAAACUUGUGCUAAUACCGGAUAAGCCCUUACGGGGAAAGAUUUAUCGCCGAAAGAUCGGCCCGCGUCUGAUUAGCUAGUUGGUGAGGUAAUGGCUCACCAAGGCGACGAUCAGUAGCUGGUCUGAGAGGAUGAUCAGCCACAUUGGGACUGAGACACGGCCCAAACUCCUACGGGAGGCAGCAGUGGGGAAUAUUGGACAAUGGGCGCAAGCCUGAUCCAGCCAUGCCGCGUGAGUGAUGAAGGCCCUAGGGUUGUAAAGCUCUUUUGUGCGGGAAGAUAAUGACGGUACCGCAAGAAUGAGCCCCGGCUAACUUCGUGCCAGCAGCCGCGGUAAUACGAAGGGGGCUAGCGUUGCUCGGAAUCACUGGGCGUAAAGGGUGCGUAGGCGGGUCUUUAAGUCAGGGGUGAAAUCCUGGAGCUCAACUCCAGAACUGCCUUUGAUACUGAGGAUCUUGAGUUCGGGAGAGGUGAGUGGAACUGCGAGUGUAGAGGUGAAAUUCGUAGAUAUUCGCAAGAACACCAGUGGCGAAGGCGGCUCACUGGCCCGAUACUGACGCUGAGGCACGAAAGCGUGGGGAGCAAACAGGAUUAGAUACCCUAGUAGUCC
rnacentral:rRNA from 1 species